GGUGAGGUGCCUGAGAGGCCGAAAGGAACGGUUUGCUAAACCGUCGUACGCNCCAAAAGUGUACCGAGGGUUCGAAUCCCUCCCUCACCG
rnacentral:tRNA from 1 species